rnacentral:lncRNA from 10 species
UGAAACCAACAAUUGUAGAGAGGAAGUCAAAUGCAUAACUUCUACUUCUUGUACUUGUGGAAUCAGUUAAAGCUUGAGGGUUCAAUUUUGUUCUUGACCUCAAAUAGCUUAAAAGUACAUUAAAUUGUGAAUUUUCUAUGAACCAUUCAAAAAGACUUGGUGAUAUUUUGUGAUAAAAAUAUUAUAAAAUCAGACAUGAAGCUUGAUCAAAUAAAUGUAUUCAUGGAAGAGGCUCAGAGUUACUUAAGAGAUAUUAACUUGAUGAUAUUUUACAUUUAAUAAUUUAAGAAUAAAAUCACACAUUUAUGGGAAGAAACAUUAUCUUCCUUCCAAAGCUAAAAGGCUCCCAUCCAUCCAUCCAUUCAUUCAAACAUUCAUUCAGAAUUUAUUUAUCAUAGGCCUAUUAUAUGCCAGAAAGUCUUUUAGGAAUUGGGAAUAUAGAAAUAAGCAUAACAAACUCCUAUCUUUAUAUUUGAAGAUAUGUUACUUUUUAAUAAAGAGAGACAGAUAAUAUAAACUUAAAAAAUAUAGAAUAUGUCAGGUGAUGAUAAAUGCUAUGAAGGAAAACAAAGUAAGGAAGACAAAGAGUGAAAGGUAUUGGUAUUUUCUACAGAGUGGUCAGAAAAGGCCUCUCCAGGAAAAUAACAUUUGAGCAGAGGCUUUGAAAGGAGUGAGGGAAGAGUUAUGCAGAUAUCUGGGGGAAGACUGUUCCAGAGUGGUUGAGUCAGAGUGAGAGAAUGACAGUGGCAGGAGCUGAGGUUAGUGAGGCAGUGGGGGGUUAGCAAGUUGAAGGCAGAUAAUAUGGGGCUCUGUGGGCCAUCAUGAGGACUUCAGCUUUUACCUCGGCAUGAGAUGGGAAACCACUGGAGAAUCUAGAGGAGAAAGGGAUGAUCUGCCCUUCAACAGGAUCAUCCAGGCUACUCCGGUGAAUAUAGACCAUAUGAGGGCAAAGAUUGGAAGCUAGGUGAGCAGUUAGAAGGCUACUGCAAUAGCUAUGUGAGAGAGAUGAACUAGGAGAGUAGCAGUGGAGAUCUGAGAUACGGCAAAGUCUAGAUAUAACACAAAGGAAUAGCCGACAGAAUUUGCUUUUGGAUUGGCUGUAUUGUAGGAGAGAAAAAAUAGGGUGCAUUUUUGGGUUGAGCAAAGAGAAGAAUGAAGAUUCCUUGUACUGAGAUGGGGAAAACUGCAGGAGGAGUGGGUCUGAAAGAGGCAAGUUGGUUGCCAUGUUGUGAGCAGCCCCCUUGAAAGGCCCAUGUGAUGAUGAAUUGAAACCUCCUGUCAACAGCCAUGUGAGUGACCUAGGAAGCAGAUCCUGCAGCCCAGUCAUGCUUCAGAUGAGGCAUAUCUGAGGCACAGAGAGGUUAAGUUGGGGACUGAAGUGUGGCUCCAGAAUCUAAGUUUCUAACUGCCAUGCUAUGGUAAGUGAGAUUGGUAAGUGCACAUGAGGAACUCGUGAGCCUCAAAGUCAUUCAUCAAUGCAGCAUUCAAUGAUGGCUUACAUGAAGGUAUAGAGGUAGGCUCAUCACUUUUACCCAAACUCAAAAAACUGAAUUUUUAUUAAGAAAGAAGAAAGCAUGGAAGAUGGGCACCACCCUUCAUAAAUGGUCAUUUAAUUGGUUUUGGGUGCAUCCCAGGAAAUCAAAUUUCAAAAGCUCCCUAGGUGAUUCCAAUGUGCAGUUAGUGUUAACAAAUACUGUCGUAAGAAUUUUUCUUUUUAUAUUAAUUUAAAUAUCCAUUAAAAGAUAAGAACAGUUGAAACCACCUUUUCAAAAUGAUGACAGUAAGAUAAAUCUGAUAUAGUUGGCUCCAUCUUGCUUCUGACCUCCUUUGGUCAUUCCUGGAUGUAGGCCAAGGUAACUGUGGGAGGAAUUUAGUUUAUAGUUUAACUUUGAAGCAAGGAUGAUAAUAGUCUCUCCCUAAAACUACUCCCCUCCUUAUUCAGGGGCUGAAAAUACCUUUAUCAAACUAAUAAAAGGCCGCAAGAUUAGGAUUAUGGGAGGGGCCUGAGUUCUGCUAAAAUGUGGGCAUAGUUUUCAUAAUCCCUUUCUGCUCAGGAGUCAUGUGGCCAGAGGUCACAAUGUUUGUGACUUCCCCAAUUGCUCCUAUAGAUAACAUCACAUUGUGGAACCUAAGAUUGUUCUUUUGAGAUGUUUUUCAGACUGACCCCACUGGACUCAUGACUCAUGGACUCAGCUGGUCCUGUGGCCCUACCCAGAAGUGGACUCAGCACACGAGGACCAUUUCCCACACUCCUGUGAUUUCAUCCCCAAUUAUUCAGCAGUACCCUUUCCAUAGCCCCUUGCCCACCAAGUUGUCCAUAAAAACCCUAGCCUCUGAGCUUUUGGGGAGAUGGAGUUGAGUAAUAACUCCAUCUACUGCAUGGCUGGCCUUGUGUCAAUUAAACUUUUUUCUUUACUGCAAUAACAUGGUCUCAGUGAACUGAUUUUGUUCAUGCAGGAGGCAGGAAAAGCCCCUUGGGUGAUUACACAGUGGUUCUCAAAGUAUGGACCUCCAACCAGCAGCAUCAGCAGCAUCUGGAUACUUGCUAGAAAUGGAAAUUCUCUGGCCCUAUUCCAGGCCUUCCAAGUUGGAAACUUUGUGAUGGGGCCCAGCACUCUGUGUUUUAACAAGCCCUCUAGCCUUAAGGAAAACAACUCUGAGGACUUUUGUCACGGACUUGAAAUUCUCAUCUGUGCUUGGACAAGACUCUGAAACAUACCAACUGUGUAUUUUCCUGCCUUUGGUAAAUCUGGAGCUAUUAACUGAUUCUAAAGAACAUUUGACUUAAAAAGACUAUGGAAAGCCCAAAGAAUAAAGACUUCAGGCGUAAGAAUUUCAAUUCCCACACCUACGUUUUCCCCAAGCAAGAUUAGCAAGAUUAUUCCACAUACAGAGAAAUUCAUUACUAAGUCAGCUGCCCAACUUCUUUUUAAGUAGAUAAUGAAGACCCCAGUGGAUUAUUAUUAGCAAAUGAAAACUGGAUAUCAAGAAGGGCAAAAUCUUCAACCUUAUCAGCAGAAAGAGUUUAUGUAAAAAUAUACCACAUAGAAUAACUAAAAAAAUAAGCAAGUGAUACCUUAUCUGAGCUCAAAAUAUCUGUUUCUUUGCAAAUGGAUAAAGGAUUUAUUAUAUUAUAGCACCUUGAGGACAGAGACUUUAUGUUUCUAACUACCCAUCCCAGCAUCAUCUAGUUCAUUCCUAUGCUGAACAGCCCCUAACACAUUGCCUAAAUAAAUACUAACAUUAUAUGUGUGCAAUGAAGUAUUCUUUUGCUAAAAGCAAAACUUUCAUAUGGUCUUACAAUAAGCCACUUGUAAGACUAGUUUUAAAUAAUUACUGAUACAAAUGCUGCCACUGCCCCCAAAGAAACCUGAAUAAAAUUAUGUUAGGCUGCACUAAUUUCAGUGUCAAGCUAUUUAACUCUGCUGAUAGUCAUUUUUUUAAAGAUCUUUUGAUCUUUAAAUUGAGAGAGUUGAACUAAAUAAUCUUUUAGAUAUCUUCUAGUUUAAUAUUCUAAGAUUCUAGUAAAUAUAUUGUGUUUGGUCAGGUGUGGUGGCUCAUGCCUGUAAUCCCAACAUUUUCAGAGGCUG